rnacentral:misc_RNA from 1 species
GGCAGCCACUUGAACAACUUUGAAAAUACAACCAGUGGCUGAUAUCUCUCCAUGCCAACUUCAACAAGCUGGUGAGAAUUGAAUGAACAAAAGCGACUCUACAACAAUGUCUAGAGACGAUCAGCAUUUAUACAACCCCAGUAACAGCGAUAUACUUUCAAUUAUUAUAAUUAUUUUUGUACAAUAUAUAUAUGAUGCAGGUGCAGUCUGCUCUCUAGCUUAGUAGUUUGAGCUCUUCUUUGAGCAGAAUAAGAUGGCUUUGAAAUGGUUUCUAAACUCUGCAUUUACUCAAGUUUUUGGUCACGUGGACACUGUUGCUAUGCAGAGAAGCAAUGUGCUAGCAUGUCCAAAAAAUCAAGGCCUGCAGCAGGUGCAAGAAUGUGUCGGAAGCUUGAAUGGAAAAGAAGGUGCUGUUACCGGGAUUAGAAUGAGAAAAGAAGAAAGCCCAAAUGGGUUCCAGAUGCCUCUUCACUACCCAAGGUACACAAAAGCAGACUAUGAGAAGAUGGAGGAAUGGAAACUUGACAUGCUUCUCAAUGAAUAUGGACUUGGUUUUAAGGGUUGUCUUGACCAGAAAAGGGCGUUUGCGAUGGGGGCAUUCCUGUGGCCUGACCAACUUUGAAACAAAGUAGUGCUGUCUCUCCAGACUACCAGAAGAAGACUUGAUAAAGGAAAGAAGAAGAUGCAUUCUGAACCUUGCAUGCUAGAAAUUUGAUGUAUGCGUUCAACUGUAAACUUGAAGCGAAGUGUUAAUCCAUUUUAUGUGUUGUAAAUUGUAAUAGUCAGUCUUGAUAAUAAGGGUUUGGGUCUUCUUCUAAGUUAUCAUUAAUAAAACUAAUUUAGUUAUUGAGAA